GAUUUCUGGUUUAAUGCACCUGGCCCGCGGCCAUUAGGCUUGUGAGUGCCGGCGCGCGUUUACCAUCCUUCUAGAAAACGAUUCUGCCAUUCACUUGGUUGGGAUCGCGAUCUAGAUCAUUUACUUUGAAAAAAUUAGAGUGUUUAAAGCUAGGACUUCGGUUCUAUUUUGUUGGUUUCUAUAACUGAAGUAAUGAUUGAUAGGGAUAGUUGGGGGUGCUAGUAUUGGCCGGUCAGAGGUGAAAUUCUUGGAUUCGGUCAAGACUAACUUAUGCGAAAGCAUU
rnacentral:rRNA from 1 species